rnacentral:rRNA from 1 species
UGGGGAAUCUUGCACAAUGGGGGCAACCCUGAUGCAGCGACGCCGCGUGAGCGAUGAAGCCCUUCGGGGCGUAAAGCUCUUUCGACCGGAACGAUAAUGACGGUACCGGGAGAAGAAGCUGCGGCUAACUACGUGCCAGCAGCCGCGGUAAUACGUAGGCAGCAAGCGUUGUUCGGAGUUACUGGGCGUAAAGAGUGCGUAGGCGGUUUUCUAAGUUCGGUGUGAAAUCUCCCGGCUUAACUGGGAGGGUGCGCCGAAGACUGGGAAGCUGGAGUGUGGGAAAGGCAGGCGGAAUUCCUGGUGUAGCGGUGAAAUGCGCAGAUAUCAGGAGCAACACCGGCGGUGUAGACGGCUUGCUAGACCAUAACUGACGCUGAGGCACGAAAGCGUGGGUAGCAAACA